UACGUAGGCAGCGAGCGUUGUUCGGAGUUACUGGGCGUAAAGAGUGCGUAGGCGGUUUUCUAAGUUUGGUGUGAAAUCUCCCGGCUCAACUGGGAGGGUGCGCCGAAGACUGGAAGGCUUGAGUAUGGGAGAGGUAAGCGGAAUUCCUGGUGUAGCGGUGAAAUGCGUAGAUAUCAGGAGGAACACCUGCGGUGUAGACGGCUUACUGGACCAUAACUGACGUGAGGCACGAAAAGCGUGGGUAGCAAACAGG
rnacentral:rRNA from 1 species